GCCUCAAAGUGACAAAACGUAACAAAGCAACGGUUUUACUAACACUAACUCUACUCCAAACACCAACUCUGACCCUAACCCUAAUCCUUAUCCUAACCCUAACCUAACCCUACUACAAAUUCGUUUCUAAACCAAUUUUGAAGAAACCGUUUUGACGAAAUGUCAUUCUGAGGUCAGCGAAAUAGUUGAUGCCCUCUUCUCGCUCCUCCUUUUCGUGCUACGUCAUGUAAUGUACUCUAUAGUGG